GGCAGGCUCCACACGCGUGUGGAAUAUCAAACGCCAGUGAUCCUCCUGUGGUGAAGAAAUGCACUCAAAUAUCCGUUUGUUGGUCUGAUUUUCUCUGCCAGAAAAGAAUGGAGUGCUAUUGUUCUUCCUCCUCUUCUGCCCUUCUCAAUUUUCAGGGUUUUCCUCCAUUGCCUGUUGAUAGGAGGUUUUAUAAGACAACUUUAAAUCACAAGGUGCUGUGCCUUCAUUCUAAACAGUUUCUUCAAAGUAAUGACAGACUGCAUCCAUUUCUUUACCAACGAACUUCAUUUUCCAUCUCUUCAAGAACAUCUAGAGGCUCUAUAUUUGCUGAAGCUGGCAAGCAAUCUUGGGAUUUUGGAAGAUUUUUAAGAACAUUAUAUUUUUUCAAUGGGCCCCCAUCUCCCGCCAAGUUCUUUGAAUUUCUGAUAGAGAAACUGUCAAAUCAAACAUCCGCUGAACCAGUAAAGAAAUUGGGAACUUCAGAUGUCGUGUUAGUGGCUGGAGCAACUGGUGGUGUUGGGCGAAGGAUAGUCGACAUCUUACGGAAGAAAGGGUUGCCGGUCAGAGUACUGGUCAGAAAUGAAGAGAAGGCAAGGACGAUGCUUGGACCGGACAUCGAUUUGAUUGUUGGAGAUAUUACCAAGGAGAACACUCUAGCACCUGAGUACUUCAAAGGCGUGAAGAAAGUCAUUAAUACAGUCUCUGUCAUUGUUGGUCCGAAGGAAGGUGAUACUCCUGAUAGGGCAAAAUACAGCCAAGGAAUCAAAUUCUUUGAGCCAGAGAUAAAAGGAGACUCGCCUGAAAUGGUAGAGUACAUAGGGAUGCGGAACUUGAUCAAUGCUGUAAAGAGUAGUGUUGGACUUCAAGAUGGAAAAACACUAUUCGGAUUUGAAGAUGGCAUAUCUGGGGAGCUGGUUUGGGGUGCCCUAGAUGAUGUUGUCAUGGGAGGUGUUAGUGAAGGUACAUUUCAAAUUGAUCCGACUGGUAAUGAAAAUGGUGGACCUACUGGACUAUUCAAAGGUACUGUCUCCACAGCAAACAAUGGUGGAUUUUCUAGUAUCAGAACAAGGAAUUUUUCUGCACCUGAGGAUCUUUCUGCAUAUGAUGGUCUGGAACUGCGAGUUAAAGGUGAUGGACAUCGGUAUAAACUUAUUGUUCGCACUAGCACUGACUGGGAUACUGUGGGGUAUACCACAAGCUUUGACACUGUAAAGGAGCAAUGGCAGACAAUACGCUUGCCAUUUUCUUCCUUGAGGCCUGUAUUUCGAGCACGGACUGUAUUAGAUGCUCCACCCUUUGAUCCAAGCAAAGUCAUAUCGCUGCAGCUCAUGUACAGCAAAUUUGAAUAUGAUGGGAAACUCAACCCGUCUUUUGUGGAAGGUGCAUUUCAACUUCCAUUAUCAAGAAUCGCAGCAUAUAUAAAAGACCCAGUCACUCCCAGGUUCGUACAUGUGAGCUCUGCAGGAGUUACUCGGCCUGACAGGCCUGGACUUGAUUUAAGCAAACAACCUCCUGCCGUCCGCUUGAAUAAGGAGUUGGACUUCAUUCUCACAUUCAAAUUGAAGGGAGAGGAUUUGAUACGGGAAAGUGGAAUUCCAUAUACAAUAGUAAGGCCUUGUGCGCUUACUGAAGAGCCUGCUGGAGCCGAUCUCAUUUUUGACCAGGGAGAUAAUAUAACGGGGAAGAUAUCGAGGGAAGAAGUUGCUCGUAUAUGUAUUGCUGCUCUUGAAAGCCCAUAUGCACGUAACAAGACAUUCGAGGUUAAGAGUGUUAUCCCUUUUAGCGAACCAUUCACGGUGGAUCCUGAAAACCCUCCACCUGAGAAGGACUACGACAUUUAUUUCAAGACCUUGAAGGAUGGUAUUACAGGGAAAGAAGCCUUGGAAGAGAGCCCUGUGCUAGUUUGAGUUAUGUACAUGAUAAAUAGCACUUUCAACACUGGAACUCCACAAGCACAUGUAAAUUGACAAAAGAAAAGUGAAAGAAGCAAGCAUGAGAAAUAUAGCAGUCAUGAGACAAUAAGUGAGUUGUCAGCUGCGUGUGGAUGACUCGUACCUGUAAAGAAGCUUGUGGCUAGGUUGGUGGGCCAGUGAACAAACUGUUAAAUGAAGAUGAUGAGCGAGGGUCAACAUUCAAUGGGCAUAAAUCAGAUUGGAUGGUUAUGAUUUAUAAGAUUUACUUGAUUC